GCUGGGGUGAGGCUCAGCACGCAGAGGCGGGGGACAAACCCAGUGCCCCUGAGGCACUCAUGAGCUUUUCUGUGUGAAGACAUAAAGCCAGGAGCGAGCUGUUUCACGCAUCUGCUCCACAGCAUUUCCGUCCUGCUGCCGCCUCUGGGUCGCAGAUCCAUGCCGUCUCCCCAGCGCCCUCUGCAUCACGUGUGGGGUGGGGUCUGGAGGGGCCACCCACUUCCUGAAGCACUGUGGACCUCACAGUGACAGUGAGUCCAGUGUUGCAGCCAUCCUUUGUGGAGGCCGCUUGGUGUCCACAGUCGGCAGCAGGGCGUGGAUCCCGAGGUCCCCGUGAGGUGAAGUUGCCAUGAUCACGACUGCCUGCGGCCACACCAGUUUCCUUCCCUCGGCGAGGUGUCACAGGAACAGCCCAGACUGCACUGCUGUACGUCUGAAUGAAUGACUGGAUCUCACUACGCACACUACAGGAAAGACAGAGGUGAUGGAAAGUGACAGUGGACAUCCGCCACGCCCACUAAGUGCCUAAGUCAGCACCCAGUCGACAUCCGUGGGCAAUGAGGCGACCCCUCGAGGCCUGCACUGGGGAAACUAGUGCAGGAUUCCCCCACUUUGGUCACUUGGAGCUGGGAAGCUGCAUCCCAUGGCACCUGAGAGUGAGGGGCCAGUGAGAGAGCUGACCAACCACCCUUCCCCGUGAGUCACGUCUUCUGCGCGACGCUAGAAGCUCCCCCAGGUCCACUUCCGCUGAACGCGCUGUUGACCCCAGCACCUUUCAAGUCACACUCCACCUGCACCGCCCUGCCACCGGGCUGCGUGACUAGAACCUGACCUGACCCGAGGAGAAGGGGCCGUUUAAUCCUGCGAGAUUCGACUUUUCUUAAGCACACUUUGCCAUCAUCUUCCUCUGUAACUUAUUGUUCCACAAAAACACAAAAGUCACUAUCAGCAAACUGUGGAUAAAGAUGACACAAAGAGAGAGGACUUCAAACUUCAGAUGGGUGGAGACCAACCACGGUCACGGCUGCAGCCACGCUGGAUGGACUCUGCCCCCUGUUCUGAGACGCAGCCCUGCUUGGCUCCUCGGCUUCCCACUCUCCGGGUCUGGCUUUCUGCGGAGUAGUUGCAGCCUUCACAGAAGAGUUUCCUAUCACAUGCUUCAGCCGACAACCUCAGAACAGCUGAGCCAGGCUGUCCCAUCCUGCACAGAUCCCAGCCACUGCCGGAGCAGCCCAUUCCCGAGACGGCAGAGGACACAGCUUUGGUGUGCAACAGGAUACCAAACCAUGGGCGUGUGAACCGCGCCGACCUAGCUGAAAUUAGGCAUAAUUAUUAAGUUCACCUUAUCAUGACCUUGCUUUCUCAGAUACUGUCAGUGUUAAUGUGAGCUGUUUGUGCAUACCAAGAGGGGAAUAAAGAUCUCAUACAUAAAUAUGCAUUCUUAUUUUCAUCAUUU
rnacentral:lncRNA from 1 species